rnacentral:rRNA from 1 species
GUGGGGAAUAUUGGACAAUGGGCGCAAGCCUGAUCCAGCCAUGCCGCGUGAGUGAUGAAGGCCUUAGGGUUGUAAAGCUCUUUCAGUGGGGACGAUAAUGACGGUACCCACAGAAGAAGCCCCGGCUAACUUCGUGUCAGCAGCCGCGGUAAUACGAAGGGGGCUAGCGUUGUUCGGAUUUACUGGGCGUAAAGCGCACGUAGGCGGAUCGUUAAGUCGGGGGUGAAAUCCUGGAGCUCAACUCCAGAACUGCCUUCGAUACUGGCGAUCUUGAGUCCGGAAGAGGUGAGUGGAACUCCUAGUGUAGAGGUGGAAUUCGUAGAUAUUAGGAAGAACACCAGUGGCGAAGGCGGCUCACUGGUCCGGUACUGACGCUGAGGUGCGAAAGCGUGGGGAGCAAACAGGAUUAGAAACCCUAGUAGUCC